ACACAUUUUACCUUGAUGGAUCUUUGGCCUUCCCUCAUGGCUCAGACAGUAAAGAAUCUGUCUGUGUUGCAGGAAACCCAGAUUUGAUCCCUGAAUCGAGAGGAUCUCCUGGAGAAGGGAAUGGCUAACCAUUCCAGUAUUCUUGCUUGGAGAAUUCCAUGGACAAAGGAGCGGAGCCUGGAAGGCUACAGUCCAUGGGGUCAUAAAGAGUCAGACACAGCUUACCAACUGAACACACAAGCACAAUGGUUUGUUUCAAGGAGAUGACAUGUGGGAUUCUGAGAGAUGCUGCUGCCCAUGACGUGUUGGAAUUAUCAUGAUCUACUACCCAGUUUGGAUUUCAUCCAGUGGUCAAGAGCUUUGCAUGGUAGACAGCAAGGGUCGGAUUUCUAAAAAGAGUAAACCAGGUAAGAUUUGAGGGAGUCAUCUGAUCAUUUAUCAUUUGUUUAGGCAUUUCUAAGGGCUUUAGAGUGCUGCCAAGGUGUAUUGAAUAAUGCGUAACUUCUCUGUUUGCUUUCUAAGUCCACUCAACAGGUUGUUGAAGAAUGGUGCUCCCUUGAAUUCAGGAGAAUGGAUAUAGUAAUGAUUGAGUUCUUUUUUCUCAAGAGGAGGGGAGGAGUUAAGAUAACGUAAAGCAGACACAAGAUACUAUGGAUGAUGGUUUAAUGCAAUAGCCCCAAAUUGCAGCUAAGGCAGUUUCCUCUUUAAGGAACUACUCUGAACUAUAAUGGAAUAAGCAGUUGUACUUUUUGAAGGUUGAGUAGGGAAAGUGUUGCAGUUUACAGCAUAUGAUCUUACAUAUAUGCUUCAAAGUUAUUCCAGUUUAGAAGGUAUACCAUUAUUUUGCCUUUUAUUUUUUGAAAGUAUUUAUCAUUCUAAAUUCUGUUCAUCUAAGUAUGAUUUGAUAUGGUAACAUAAUGACCUAGUCCAUUGUGGCUUUUGGAAUUUAAAAUGUAACACAUGCUCUUAUUCAACUUGUCUCUGGGACUUUUGUCUGUUUCAUUCUGGAACCUCUUUUCAACUAUCAGAUCUGAUCUUUCUCUUUAACAUUCUUCCUCCUCUAUAACAUAAUUAAAAUUUGUUAGUAACAGUUACUUGGGGCAACUACAUUAUUCCUAUCUUCUGAUUUUAAGACUAUCAGAGCUCUUAUAUCAAAAUUUUAUGAAUCCCAAAUCAAGAUUUCCUUUAAGUUCAAUUAUCAAAACAGAAAAUAUAUGUAAAAUUUAAUCAUUUAGAAAACUUGAACUCUUACAGUUGGAGUGUUUGUUUUUUUAAAAUACAGCUUUUUUAUUUUCUGAAAAUAAAGCAAAUGGAACUCAGUUAAUAAAUUAUAGG
rnacentral:lncRNA from 1 species